UACUGCAUCAGGAACUGAUUGGAUAAUAAUCAGGCACCAUCAGUUCCUAAUGCAUUGCC
rnacentral:pre_miRNA from 1 species